rnacentral:piRNA from 1 species
UAGCGAAUGACGAGGAGCACAUGGUC